rnacentral:rRNA from 1 species
AUUGAACGCUGGCGGCAUGCUUUACACAUGCAAGUCGAACGGUAACAGGCCUUCGGGCGCUGACGAGUGGCGAACGGGUGAGUAAUGCAUCGGAACGUGCCCAGUCGUGGGGGAUAACGCAGCGAAAGCUGUGCUAAUACCGCAUACGAUCUGCGGAUGAAAGCGGGGGACCUUCGGGCCUCGCGCGAUUGGAGCGGCCGAUGUCAGAUUAGGUAGUUGGUGGGGUAAAGGCUCACCAAGCCAACGAUCUGCAGCUGGUCUGAGAGGACGACCAGGCACACUGGGACUGAGACACGGCCCAGACUCCUACGGGAGGCAGCAGUGGGGAAUUUUGGACAAUGGGCGCAAGCCUGAUCCAGCAAUGCCGCGUGCAGGAAGAAGGCCUUCGGGUUGUAAACUGCUUUUGUACGGAGCGAAAAGGCUCCCUCUAAUACAGGGGGCUCAUGACGGUACCGUAAGAAUAAGCACCGGCUAACUACGUGCCAGCCGCCGCUGUAACAC